GCAAAAAAAUAGAACAUGUACUAUUCUUGUCCGUUUUGUGGACAAGUACAGGCAUUGUUACAAUGAAUCCACAAAAAAAAUGGAUGUAACAAGGAUGUCAUCCUUUUUUUUCGGAUCAGUGUUUUGCGGACUGCAAAAUACAUAUGGUGUGUGCAUGAGUCCUAAUGCUGGGACACUAAAUUCACAUUUUGAGAAGAACACCUCAGGUGCUAUACCCAAAGUGGCAAUAGAGACUGCAAAUUUUAUAGUGUAGGUAGAUAAAAGCAUAAUGGGGCACAUUUACGAAUGGUUUUACGCCACUAUUGUGGCGUAAAAAAAAAGUCAGACUAUGGCACAUUCCAUAUAUGCAUCAUAAUUUAUGACUUUUUAACUUCAGAAAAGCACUGUGGAAAGGGGCAGGGCAUAACGGAAGGGACACACUUUUGUGCCUCCCCCUUCGGAUUUACUAUAACUUUCGCCAGAAAGUGGUGUAAGUUAUAGCUGAAGUCUAUGCCAGUCUGUAGUUGGCGUAGACUUAACUGCUUUGCGUGCCCCAGAAAGUGAUGUGCCUAAUUUAUUAAGAGGCAUCUGCUUCUUAUUAAAUAAGGCGCAUCUCAAGCCAGUGCCAGGAGAUCAAGACUGGAGUAUGGGCACACCAGUUCUGAUAAAGGUCUCUCAUUAUAUGCAAUAAUCUAAAACAUAUGUUAACAUGUCGCAAUAUAUGCGCCAUUGACGUGAGCAAAGGUAAGCCCCACUGUCAUUCAAACUAUUUUUUUUUCUGCAAGGCACAUAAAUUCUGCCUGACAUGUUUCUGGAAUUUCCUCCGUAUUUUGAUACUCGAACUUCAGCCUCAGGUCCAGUCCUCAGGGCCCACCUGCCGGUCAUGUUUUCAGGAUUUCCUUAGUAUUGAACAGGCGAUAUAAUUAGUGUCCAUGCAUCAGGACUUACCACAGGUAUUUAUUCUGUGGGAUAUUCUCAAAUCAUGACCGGUAGGUGGCCCUGAAGACUGGAGUUGAGUAACGUGUACAUUUUACGGGCUGUAACAAACCAGAGAACCACCAUGAAGUCCCCCGCUGUACUUAUAUCUGCCAGUGAGCGCAGUGCCCAAGAAGAAUCCAUUACUGGAAACAGGCAAGAUACCAGAUCUUGCUAGAAAUUCAUUUUCCUUUAGCUCAAUAUCAUUAUUUCCAAAUGUUACUACGGCUAAGGGAGGACAAACUGUUUCAUCCAGUCGUACAAAUAUUAGCUACAAACAGAGAGAAAAAGCAUAAAGUGAGACAACUGUAUGGAAAAGCCCCGUCCAGCAGGGGACAUGUCCAGACCAGGUGGCAUAGGAAUGUCAUGUCAUGGGUAUUACGGAGAAAAAAAUAAAAUAAAAAGGUCAAACUAAGACCUGCUCUGUUGAAGAAUACAACAGAAGCACUUCCAUUACCAGCCCAUAAUAAAUUGUAACUUCCACGUUUUAGUAAAGUUUUCAUUUGCAUUGCAGUUACCUUGGAAGUCAAGGAAAACGCCUCUUUUGCAGGCACGCUCUGUUUGUUGCACAGGGCAUCUAAUGCAGUUUUCUGUGAUAUUACACAGUCCGCACACACAUAAGUGCUCUUAUUUCUUAGAAAGCAACUUGGGUGAGUUCUCAAGCAGCAAUAAGCAAAAAAUGCAUUUAAAGCUUCAUGAAAGGUGCUUUAUACCCAACAUAAACGCCAUAGACGGCACAUUACUACCAGGUCACGCCUGGCCAGAGUGCACUGACAGGACUACACAAUAGUAAAAUACUGCCGACAACACAGAAAGGAAAAUACAAUGUGCGCUAAUAUACAACGGAUGGGAUGGGAGGAUGCCUUGGGCUGGGAAACUUGGCUUCAUUUUUGUAAUCUUUCUAUUUACAGAAAAACUACAAUAUUCUUCAAUGGCCCAAGCUAAUAUAAUUAAAUCCUCAUAUUUAAGUACAG